rnacentral:rRNA from 1 species
AAUGGGUCAGCGACUUAUAUUCUGUAGCAAGGUUAACCGAAUAGGGGAGCCGAAGGGAAACCGAGUCUUAACUGGGCGUUAAGUUGCAGGGUAUAGACCCGAAACCCGGUGAUCUAGCCAUGGGCAGGUUGAAGGUUGGGUAACACUAACUGGAGGACCGAACCGACUAAUGUUGAAAAAUUAGCGGAUGACUUGUGGCUGGGGGUGAAAGGCCAAUCAAACCGGGAGAUAGCUGGUUCUCCCCGAAAGCUAUUUAGGUAGCGCCUCGUGAAUUCAUCUCCGGGGGUAGAGCACUGUUUCGGCAAGGGGGUCAUCCCGACUUACCAACCCGAUGCAAACUGCGAAUACCGGAGAAUGUUAUCACGGGAGACACACGGCGGGUGCUAACGUCCGUCGUGAAGAGGGAAACAACCCAGACCGCCAGCUAAGGUCCCAAAGUCAUGGUUAAGUGGGAAACGAUGUGGGAAGGCCCAGACAGCCAGGAUGUUGGCUUAGAAGCAGCCAUCAUUUAAAGAAAGCGUAAUAGCUCACUGGUCGAGUCGGCCUGCGCGGAAGAUGUAACGGGGCUAAACCAUGCACCGAAGCUGCGGCAGCGACGCUGAUGCGUUGUUGGGUAGGGGAGCGUUCUGUAAGCCUGUGAAGGUGUGCUGUGAGGCAUGCUGGAGGUAUCAGAAGUGCGAAUGCUGACAUAAGUAACGAUAAAGCGGGUGAAAAGCCCGCUCGCCGGAAGACCAAGGGUUCCUGUCCAACGUUAAUCGGGGCAGGGUGAGUCGACCCCUAAGGCGAGGCCGAAAGGCGUAGUCGAUGGGAAACAGGUUAAUAUUCCUGUACUUGGUGUUACUGCGAAGGGGGGACGGAGAAGGCUAUGUUGGCCGGGCGACGGUUGUCCCGGUUUAAGCGUGUAGGCUGGUUUUCCAGGCAAAUCCGGAAAAUCAAGGCUGAGGCGUGAUGACGAGGCACUACGGUGCUGAAGCAACAAAUGCCCUGCUUCCAGGAAAAGCCUCUAAGCAUCAGGUAACAUCAAAUCGUACCCCAAACCGACACAGGUGGUCAGGUAGAGAAUACCAAGGCGCUUGAGAGAACUCGGGUGAAGGAACUAGGCAAAAUGGUGCCGUAACUUCGGGAGAAGGCACGCUGAUAUGUAGGUGAAGUCCCUCGCGGAUGGAGCUGAAAUCAGUCGAAGAUACCAGCUGGCUGCAACUGUUUAUUAAAAACACAGCACUGUGCAAACACGAAAGUGGACGUAUACGGUGUGACGCCUGCCCGGUGCCGGAAGGUUAAUUGAUGGGGUCAGCGCAAGCGAAGCUCUUGAUCGAAGCCCCGGUAAACGGCGGCCGUAACUAUAACGGUCCUAAGGUAGCGAAAUUCCUUGUCGGGUAAGUUCCGACCUGCACGAAUGGCGUAAUGAUGGCCAGGCUGUCUCCACCCGAGACUCAGUGAAAUUGAACUCGCUGUGAAGAUGCAGUGUACCCGCGGCAAGACGGAAAGACCCCGUGAACCUUUACUAUAGCUUGACACUGAACAUUGAGCCUUGAUGUGUAGGAUAGGUGGGAGGCUUAGAAGUGUGGACGCCAGUCUGCAUGGAGCCGACCUUGAAAUACCACCCUUUAAUGUUUGAUGUUCUAACGUGGACCCGUGAUCCGGGUUGCGGACAGUGUCUGGUGGGUAGUUUGACUGGGGCGGUCUCCUCCUAAAGAGUAACGGAGGAGCACGAAGGUUGGCUAAUCCUGGUCGGACAUCAGGAGGUUAGUGCAAUGGCAUAAGCCAGCUUGACUGCGAGCGUGACGGCGCGAGCAGGUGCGAAAGCAGGUCAUAGUGAUCCGGUGGUUCUGAAUGGAAGGGCCAUCGCUCAACGGAUAAAAGGUACUCCGGGGAUAACAGGCUGAUACCGCCCAAGAGUUCAUAUCGACGGCGGUGUUUGGCACCUCGAUGUCGGCUCAUCACAUCCUGGGGCUGAAGUAGGUCCCAAGGGUAUGGCUGUUCGCCAUUUAAAGUGGUACGCGAGCUGGGUUUAGAACGUCGUGAGACAGUUCGGUCCCUAUCUGCCGUGGGCGCUGGAGAACUGAGGGGGGCUGCUCCUAGUACGAGAGGACCGGAGUGGACGCAUCACUGGUGUUCGGGUUGUCAUGCCAAUGGCACUGCCCGGUAGCUAAAUGCGGAAGAGAUAAGUGCUGAAAGCAUCUAAGCACGAAACUUGCC